GUCAAGUUAGUUUAAAUAAAAUAUCAGCCUGUGGAUUUGAAGAUAAAAUUUGUUUUUACUUGACC
rnacentral:tRNA from 1 species